AACUUCAGAAAACAACGGCAGUUUGUGGGCAAGGCAAGCCCACUCGAUGCUAAUCAACCAAGGGGCACACACACCCCUCUAUCGUCAACGCCCCCUCCACAAUCUCCCUCCCCGAUAGGUCCAGGCAGAGAUGGAAAAAAACAACAACAAGGGCUUUAAAAACAUCCACAUUGUUCCGUCCAUCAGUAACAUCUGGUUAUCAAACCGGGGUACUGUGGCUACAUUCUCCUGUUUUUCGGCACAUUGUUUAUUCUCCUCCAUCUCCGGGGAGGACAGAAAUCAAAGUUUACAGUUUUUUUCUUGCGUGAACUCAAAACGCGAACAUGCCCAGCAAGAGGAAGAAGAACAAGCGCCGCAUGAGAAGGGUGCAGGCCCAGAGGAGAGUCCUUGAGGAGCAGCAUUCUACUGGCGCAGGCAAAGGAACCCCAGGAGUGGCUGCCGUGGCACCCCCCCUUGAAAUAUUAAAUUGUCCCCCCCUUCUCUCACCCCCUCCAGUAGUAAAGGUCCCAGUCGUAAAGCCCCCUGAAAUAUCCAAUUGUCACCCCCUUAUUCCCCCCACUAUAGUAGUAAAGGUCCCAUUCGUACAGCCACCGGCCCCAGUCAAAGUACCAGAUCCUGAGGCUGUGGUGACGGUGGUAGAGCCUGAAGUGGUAGCAGCUGAGGUUGAAGUUGAGGCCCCAGUCGAAGCUCCAGUGGAGGUUGAAGUCGAGGCCCCAGAAGAAGUUCCAGAAGAAGUCCCAGUCGAGGCCCCAGAAGAAGUCCCAGUCGAGGCCCCAGAAAAAGUCCCAGUCGAGGCCCCAGAAGAAGUCCCAGUCGAGGCCCCAGAAGAAGUCCCAGCCGAGACCCCAGAAGAAGUCCCAGUCGAGGCCCCAGAAGAAGUCCCAGUCGAGGCCCCAGAAGAAGUCCCAGUCGAGGCCCCAGAAGAAGUCCCAGUCGAGGCCCCAGAAGAAGUCCCAGUCGAGGCCCCAGAAGAAGUCCCAGUCGAGACCCCAGAAGAAGUCCCAGUCGAGGCUCCAGAAGAAGUCCCAGUUGAGGUCCCAGUCGUAGAAGCAGAAGCUCCUGUUGAGCCCCCUACAGAAGAAACUGCAGCAGGGCAGGAAGUUGAAGAAAGCAUCAUUCCAGAGACUGAGCCAGUAACUGAGGCCAUACCCAUUCCUGAGGCCCCUGUGUCAGCUCUUGCUGAAUUUGAGGUUCAGGUCGCAAACUCCGUAGCGAUUACCACAGAGAUCGCACAGACUCAUGAUGAGCCGGGGCUCGAGGCUGAAGUGGAGGCUGAAAUAGUUGACGAGGUCCAAGCGAAAGUAGAGGCAGUAGUUGAGGAAGAACCAGAGCCCGAUCCCAUGGUCAAGGCCGAAGCUGCCCCAGUUGUAGAAGCUGAACUUGAACUGUCGGGAAUCAAAGACGGAGACAGUCCUAUCGUCAAAGCUGAAGCCAUUCCUGAAGAUAUUGAUGUAGAAGAGCAUGAGACUGUUAUGGCAGAGGCACCUGAAGAGGUUCCAGUGCAGACAGAAAUUAUCCCAGAAAAGCUGUGGAAGCCCGUGGAAGCACCGAUUGAAGAAGCCCCCGUAGCCAAGAUCGCUCCAGCAGAGCUCCUCGUAGAGGCCUCAGUAGACCCUGUCAUCAACACAAUGGCUGACUUUGCCAUCACAGAAUCUGUUCCCGUUGUGGAAGCAGCCAUGGCUGAGCAGGUGCCCGCAGUUUCAACGGAUUCACUUGACGCCCUAUCGGAGUUGCUGAACGACAUCACUCUAGUCACUGAGCCCGCCCCUGUCACAGCUGAUAAAGUCAUUGACGAGCCAGAGUGUGAGGAGAAAGACGUGACAGAGAUGAGGGCUAAAGAGGAAAUUGGAGCCCAGAUGGAAAUCGAGGCUAAAAAGGAUGCCAUAGAUGAGAAGACGGUCCUUGACGUCAUCUCUGGAGAUUUAUCCACCCCCCACCCUGUUAUCUCAGAACUGCAGUGUCACACGCAGCUCGCCGCCCCCAAGGAAAUCCCAACAGAGGCAGUGCUGAAUGGACAGAUGGCAGCUGAGGUGGCCAUUGAGGGAUAGAUCUCUAUGGAUGUCCUCAGUCAGUAUGAAAGACUAAAGAGAGCCUGACAGUGAGCCGACCAGCGAACUUUACUUUUCAUUUUUUAGGGCUUAAAGGGACCGCUGGGAAAUUUGACAGACAUCCAACACUCAGUGCCUUUCUUGCUUGGGUUCUUACAAACAAAAUAUUAAACAAGUUUAAAAUGCGACAUGAAGGUGGGGGAAUAACACUUUUUUGUUGUUGAUCAGAAUGUGACAAUUUGGAAUAAACAAAUCAUGGCUUUCAUAGAUUUCUGUAUCCCAUUGCAUAUAUUGUGGAUUUGCCUCAAUUGUAAAUGGCAUGCAUUGUGUAUGAAUACUGUAGAAUUAAUGAAUGUGGCAAUGGCUUGUCUUCACAUGUUUGUAUGGAUGAGAGGGAUUAAUUCCUUGUACACGUUUCCUGUUUUAACCUGGUUUGAUUCCUUUUUGUGAAGGGACAGUAUGGCAGUUUGUACAGUACCAUAGCUACCCCCUCUUCUCCCUAUCCCCAUUGUGGUACUUUUGUUUUUUCAGGGACUGUAUGAUGACAGCUCCACCCUCUUUACUGUGUAGUGUCAGUGUGUCUACAGUCCCAAGUCUGUCCUGGGCAAUGUGAAAUGGUGUGUAGUUUUAGGUCCUCUGACCAGAUGCUCUUAACAUUUAAUUACCUAUGCUGCCAACUUAAAAUAGAGUAUGGGGGCCUGUAGAUCCUGUUUUUAGUUUUUCUUUUCUUUUUCUGUUUUGUAUAGACCAUAUGAUGUGGUACAACCGCUGUUUGUGUUCAGUUACGUGCUCUGGAAUUGACCAUGGAGUUGUCAUGUAAUUGAGGAGCUGGGUUGGAUUUCAUUCACCUUUUUGAAUAAAGAUGUUACUCACCAAGUUCUUGAUUCAGUUGUUGGCCUGUGUUCUACAUUCCUUAGUAAUAAUGUUUUUGUUUGUUUUAACACAUUCAGCUUGAGUUCCACAUUAGCAUAACGUUUGAAACUAUAAAUAGUUCCAGGCAGCUGAAGCAAGCACAUUUU
ensembl:lncRNA